CCUACGGGUGGCAGCAGUGGGGAAUAUUGCACAAUGGGGGAAACCCUGAUGCAGCGACGCCGCGUGAAGGAAGAAGUAUUUCGGUAUUUAAACUUCUAUCAGCAGGGAAGAAAAUGACGGUACGUGACUAAGAAGCCCCGGCUAACUACGUGCCAGCACCAGCGGUAAUACGGAGGGGGCAAGCGUUAUCCGGAUUUACUGGGUGUAAAGGGAGGGUAGGCGGUGCAGUAAGUCAGAAGUGAAAGCCCGGGGUCCAAAUCCCGGACUGCUUUUGAAACUGUUGAACUAGAGUGCAGGAGAGGUAUGUGGAAUGCGUGGUGUAGCGGUGAAAUGCAUAGAUAUCAGGAAGAACACCGGUGGCGAAGGCAGCAUACUGGACUGUAAAUGACGCUGAGGCUCGAAAGCGUGGGGAUCGAACAGGAUUAGAUACCCCUGUAGUC
rnacentral:rRNA from 1 species